GGGGGAGGGGCGGGCGGAGGGGCGGCGGGAGCGCGAGGCGGGGCGCGCAGGCUUUUGUGGCUCAGCCGCCUCUCGCGCAGCCCCAGCCCCCGGCCCGCAGCCCGGCCGCACCGGGCAGUGCGCGCUCCCCCUGCCCGCUCGCGCGGACUCCCGGCGCCCGCCCCCGCGGCCCCCACCUUCCGGGCCGCCCCCCUCGCCCCCGCCCGCCGCUCUGCCCCCUCCCCCUGCCCCGCCCCCAGCUCGGCCCGCAGGGACCCGCGCAGAGGCCGCCCGCUGCCACUUGGGGUGGGGGGGGGGGGGAGCGGCCCGGGCCCCCCUCACCGGCCGCGCACUGCGCGCCGCACCCUCGUGCCCGGGUCGGAGCUACGCUGAUGCGGCGGGGCUGAGGCGCCGUGGCCCGGGUCCUCCGGCGGGCGGCGUGAGCGGCUCUCACGCCCACCUCGCCCGGUCCGCUCUUGCUUGCCGCACGGGCUGAGCCUCCGCGCGGGACCUCGCGGCUGGCCGCCGGCCCCGCGCCGCCCGGCGUGCCCUGCGGGACCCGGAUCCCGGGCGCUUCCGUCGCGAGCCGCCAGGAGGGCCCUGAGCACUCGGGAGAAACGAUCGUUACCGGACAGACCGCCUCUGGCAGGACGUGGAGCCUCGCUGUCACUCGGGAAGGGACGAGACAGUCACAGGCCGGGGGCGCGGGCGGCGCACGCGGCUGCCCAGGUAGCGCAGAUCCAAGGAGACCGGUUGUAAACUGCAGGAUUGGACUUGAGCAGAGCCCACCCGCCUCCACCUGCAGGCGGUGGCCCCCCGGAAAGGGAAGCGAGGAGAGUCAGAGGCCGCAGCAGCCCCGUGGAGCCUGCUUUUCCCAGGGUCCGCGGCAUCUGUGGUCUUCCCGGGAGGGAAUUCGGCCAGAAAGAGGCCGAAAUGAGACAGACACACGACGGAUGACCAAAGUUCACGGCGCCAGACCAGGUUACGGGCCUUCGGUUCCCUUCCAAUUACAUAGUUCAAGUGAAAAAAGGGGGAAAAAAAAUCAGGUCUAAUUUUUAUCUCCGAGGAGGACGGGCCUGAG
rnacentral:lncRNA from 1 species